rnacentral:rRNA from 1 species
AUAAAUAAAUUACCGGUAUAUCUGCCCAGUGAAUCUUCAACGGCCGCAGUAUUCCUAACUGUGCUAAGGUAGCAUAAUAAUUAGUUUUUUAAAUUGAAAACUCGAAUGAAAGAAUCGACGAGAGACUUUCUGUCUCGGUAAUUCUGAUAACUUGCUACAAAGGUAAAAAAGCCUUUAUAAUUUAAUGGGACGACAAGACCCUAUAAAACUUUACUCUUCCUCUUGCACGCCUCAAACCAAUCACAAGAUACGAGUUAUGCUGGGGCGGCAUUUUUUAAUCUAAACAAUUAUUCACUACAACAUAAUCUAUGAUAUUAACAAACCCCCGUAAGUAAUAAAGAACAAGUUACUUUAGGGAUAACAGCGUAAUAUUUCUUUAGAGUCCUUAUCGACAGAAAUGAUUGCGACCUCGAUGUUGAAUUGAAGCCUCUCUGCGGAGCAG